GAUGAACGCUAGCGGCAGGCCUAACACAUGCAAGUCGAGGGAUAAGCCUUCGGGCUAAGACCGGCGCACGGGUGCGUAACGCGUAUACAAUCUGCCUUUUAUCCGGGGGAUAGCCCGAAGAAAUUUGGAUUAAUACCCUAUGGUAUAAGAGCACGGCAUCGUGCACUUAUUAAAGCCACGGCGGUAAAAGAUGAGUAUGCGUUCUAUUAGCUAGUUGGAGAGGUAACGGCUCCCCAAGGCGACGAUAGAUAGGGGUUCUGAGAGGGAUGUCCCCCACACUGGUACUGAGAUACGGACCAGACUCCUACGGGAGGCAGCAGUGAGGAAUAUUGGACAAUGGUCGGAAGACUGAUCCAGCCAUGCCGCGUGCAGGAUGACGGCCUUAUGGGUUGUAAACUGCUUUUGUAAGGGAAGAAUAAGGAGUACGCGUACUUUGAUGACGGUACCUUACGAAUAAGCAUCGGCUAACUCCGUG
rnacentral:rRNA from 1 species